rnacentral:tRNA from 1 species
GCUUUUAUAGUUGAAGGACAACGGCGGUGUUUCAAGCCGCGGGUCUUGGUUAAAGUCCAAGUAAAAGUA